rnacentral:rRNA from 1 species
GACGAACGCUGGCGGCGCGCUUAACACAUGCAAGUCGAACGGAAAGGCCUGCUUUCCCUUGUGGAUUGCGGGUACUCGAGUGGCGAACGGGUGAGUAACACGUGAGUGAUCUGCCCCCAACUUGGGUAUAAGCCUGGGAAACUGGGUCUAAUUCCCGAUAGGACUGCAGGGUGGUGCCUGUGGUGGAAAACGAUUUUCUAGUGGUUGGGGAUGAGCUCGCGGCCUAUCAGCUUGUUGGUGGGGUAAUGGCCUACCAAGGCGGCGACGGGUAGCCGGGCUGGGAGGGGGGACGGCCAAAUUGGGACUGGGACACGGCCCAGACUGCAACGGGAGGCAGCAGUGGGGAAUAUUGCACAAUGGGCGGAAGCCUGAUGCAGCGACGCCGCGUGGGGGAUGACGGCGUUCGGGUUGUAAACUCCUUUCGACCGCGAGGAAGCCACCUGGUUGGAAGGGUGGUGACGGUAGUGGUAGAAGAAGCACCGGCUAACUACGUG